GCUAGUAAUCGCGGAUCAGCAUGCCGCGGUGAAUACGUUCCCGGGCCUUGUACACACCGCCCGUCACACCAUGAGAGUCGGGAACACCCGAAGCCUGUGAGCUAACUUAACGAGGCAGCAGUCGAAGGUAGAAUCAAUGAUUGGGGUGAAGUCGUAACAAGGUAAC
rnacentral:rRNA from 1 species